rnacentral:rRNA from 1 species
ACACAUGCAAGUCGAACGGCAGCGCGCGGGCAACCUGGCGGCGAGUGGCGAACGGGUGAGUAAUAUAUCGGAACGUACCCAAGAGUGGGGGAUAACGUAGCGAAAGUUACGCUAAUACCGCAUACGAUCNAUGGAUGAAAGCAGGGGACCGCAAGGCCUUGUGCUCCUGGAGCGGCCGAUAUCUGAUUAGCUAGUUGGUGAGGUAAAGGCUCACCAAGGCGACGAUCAGUAGCUGGUCUGAGAGGACGACCAGCCACACUGGAACUGAGACACGGUCCAGACUCCUACGGGAGGCAGCAGUGGGGAAUUUUGGACAAUGGGCGCAAGCCUGAUCCAGCAAUGCCGCGUGAGUGAAGAAGGCCUUCGGGUUGUAAAGCUCUUUUGUCAGGGAAGAAACGGUGGAGGNUAAUACCUUCCACUAAUGACGGUACCUGAAGAAUAAGCACCGGCUAACUACGUGCCAGCAGCCGCGGUAAUACGUAGGGUGCAAGCGUUAAUCGGAAUUACUGGGCGUAAAGCGUGCGCAGGCGGUUUUGUAAGUCUGUCGUGAAAGCCCCGGGCUCAACCUGGGAAUUGCGAUGGAGACUGCAAGGCUUGAAUCUGGCAGAGGGGGGUAGAAUUCCACGUGUAGCAGUGAAAUGCGUAGAGAUGUGGAGGAACACCGAUGGCGAAGGCAGCCCCCUGGGUCAAGAUUGACGCUCAUGCACGAAAGCGUGGGGAGCAAACAGGAUUAGAUACCCUGGUAGUCCACGCCCUAAACGAUGUCUACUAGUUGUCGGGUUUUAAUUAACUUGGUAACGCAGCUAACGCGUGAAGUAGACCGCCUGGGGAGUAC